GUUGGGGGGAGACCAAAGGUGGAGAUGUGCUGUUUUGCGCAACUGGCUUGCCCGCGCGUCAUCCAAAUACCAACUUCCGUUCGCAGAGGAAGUGAGAGGUGUCCAAUUCGGUCAUGCAGAACGCAGCUGGGCUGCCUGAAAUGAAACGCAGUGGCGACUCUGAAGGAGGUGUCACCGUCCCUGGGCCGGUGCAGGAUUGAGUCACAGCACACGCCACUCCCACGUUAAAAAAUACCAGGCCAUGGUCCCAGAAAGCUUGGCCCCUCAUUCGGGUCAUUUCCAACACACUCCCCGGAAUCCACAAGUAAAGGGAAAAGAGAAGGGAAGGGAAGAGGAAGAAAGGGAAAAGUUCAGGAUGGCUAAGUUGCCAAGUGAGUGGAGAGCUAGCCAAUAGGAGCAGCACUUGAGUGUGGGACGUCCCGCCCCCGACCCCUAGCUGUCUGUCUGUCCGCCACCCAGCCUGGCUAGUGGUUAUGCCCCUGGGUCACCUUGGUUACAUUCUAGACCCAAGAACAAAUCCAAAGACUCGCAGUGUAGAGUUUUUCCUAAAUAAUAAGUUUAAAAGUACAACAUUAUGAAAACGAGAUUAAAUACAAGGUGAAUAUUUAGACCAGGGGGGAUCACAGCAGUUUGCUGAGGCCGGAAGUUGAGGCGUGUUUCUUCAGUGAUCUCUUCAGCCACUUUACCCAAAAUGCACCACAGAAACGCCUCUUGUUUGUAACCUGGCUUCCCUCCUCUGCUUCCGACACGAGCCUGGAAGCUCCUGUACCUUCAGUUUUACAGUAAGUGCACCUCUGGCGAAACUUCAGAGUCAACAGGCUGACAACUGUGAGCCGUGGGCCCAGAGACAUCACCCAGGACUUGCUGCCUGGGGAUCAGCGGCUGUGGGUGGAGAGAGCUGACACCGACUGCAGGCAGUUUCUUCUCCCCCUCCCAGCUUCCCAGCAGCUGGGGGUGGAGUGGCAAGAGGCCAGGGACUGGUGAAUUCACCUUCGCACGUGGGCGCCUGCUCCCCGAAGCACCUGUGUGGAGCCAGACACAUUUAGACACUUGGCAGAUGCUGCAGAAUCUAAAGUGGGCAGGAUAAAGCUAUCGCACUGGCCUGGAAUGCUGAAAUCGGAGCACGACAGAAAAACAUUCCAAGCUACCAGACAUGAAAAAGAGGAACAAAAACUAGUGUAAUGACAAACUGUCCUCAAGCAGAAAAGCCUGAAAACAACCAGAUUACGAAUGGAAUACAUCCCUCUCUAGCAGCUUUGCCAUAUGAACGGCCUCCCAGAAUCAGAACGGGGAACAAAGUGAUCUUCCUCAUUUGCAUGCCACCCGUCAGAAUGCUCGAUGGGUUUAUCGUUUUGAGGAAGAAGUCUGCUAGCAUCCGGGUUGGGAAAUGAAAGCAGAUUAAUUUUAGAUGCGACAAGAUAUCCCGCUUGUUCAUGGCAUUCUCCACUACAGUUUUGGUUUCCUAUCAUCCAACGUCAAUUAAUUUGCCCAUAUGCUCAGCCAAGUGAGACAGCAGAGGCCAGCUAUUAUUUAUUUGGAAGAGAUUACUUUGAGUAAUCUGGAAAAGCAGAGAGGACACCAGGGCUGGUCUCCAUCCCCAGCCGACACUGUGAUCUCAUGGUUGGUAUCUUCUUAGUCAUCUCUUCCCUCACGGGGACUCACAGCCCACUUUUGCUCCCUUUCAAGUGAGAAACUAACCCUUCGAUAUCCAGAGAGAAUCAAUCAUGGGAUGGGGCACAUUUCACCAAGAAAGUGUGUGGGGGUGGGGGAAGGGCAAUGGCAGCAAACUGACCAUCGAGGCAUCAGCUUAUAGGCUCCUGUCCAGUUCCCAGGGUAACGGAUAUAAGACCCUCAACUGGAGGGAAAGCUCUUCAAGGCCUGGCAUUUUCUCAGCCCCCUCUCCUAAGCUCUUCAUCAUAACAAUGGUAAUAGCUAACACCAGGCACCUGUUCCCUGCCGGCCGCUGCUGGGGCUUCACUCCAGGUAACAGGGUGCCAUGUGAUUAGGCCCUGGGGCCCUGGGCCUUCUCAGCCCGUGCCCCUCCUUCUUUGUGUUGUAGCCACACCAGCCUUUUCUUCUGUUUCUUGAACCCACUAAGUAUAUUCCUACCUCAGGGCCUUUGUUCUUGCCAUUCCUUCUACCUUUGGCAUGGUUAGCUCUGUCAAAUGCUGCUGAAAGGCCGACCAAGUUCAGAACAGAGCAGGAAUCACUGGACUGGGACAAUGCAGACACCGAUCUUCCGGACAAGUGUGCUCUCAGUGGCUUAGGGACAACAGAAGCCCAACUGAGAGCAUAAAAGAAACAAUGUGAAUAAACAGACGGUAAUUACAAAACCUUUUCCAUGAAGGGAAGCAGAAAAAUGAGGUGAUGGCAAGAGAGAGAUGUGGGGUCAAGGCGGGAUUUCGUUUGUUUGUUUGUUUCCUUUAAAGGCAAGAGAUAAGGGCAUGUGUCUCUAUAUGGAUGGAAAUGACAUGGGCCUCUGGCUCGGGGCCCAGAUGCAGGGGGAGAGGGAAUAAUUUCUGGGAAGAGACGUUUCAGAGAGGAGCAGAGCAAAAACAGGAUUUAAUAGAAAAAUUGCACAUUGCCAGGUAAUACUGAAUUUUCUCAAUAAAUCUAAUGCUCACAAAGUCCUAUAAGGUAGAUGUUAUUAUUCUUUUUAUUUUACAGGUGAGAACUCCAAGGGCCAAAGAUAAAAAGUAACUCUACCCAUCACUCUACAGGACAGUGGAGGAGAGUUGGGGUUUGAAGCCGAAGUUCUGACUCCUGGUUAAUUACAAGAUCCAAGUGCAAGGUUUUGAAGGGUGAAAAGAUAGCUCCUUAAGUCAGAAAAAAGCCAGAGUAUGAGAGAAACACCUAAACCCAAGGCUCACAAUGCAGAUGCUAGAGAAACCGAAUAGCUCCAAUGACUUAAAAAUAGGGAAAUUUUCAAGAUUUUGUUUAGUUGUGAAAAAAUGCAUCUGUUGGCAAUGUUCUAUUUCUCACCUGGCAGGUGGACACUGGUGUUGCCUUGUGUGCUGUUCUGCAGGUACAUUUCACAACAGAGGUACAGAAGCGCACUGAACUGCCUCAUUGAUGGCAGAUGAUGUGCCAUCAUUUCCCCUCAAAACGCGGCCCAGCUUUUUAGUUCCCGAUCCUGACCACUCAUCAGAACCACCGGGGGACUUCUAAAAUGAAGAGUCCCACCCAAAACCAGGGACUCAGAAUUCCCUGGCACAGGGCCCUGAACAUGUAUCACCAGAAAGCUCCCUGUGAUCCUAAUGCUCAGCCAAAACUGGGAACUGCAGGCCUCAAGCACACCAGUCCCAUUAAAGAUCAGUGUUUCCUGCAAUGUUGUCUCCUAUGGUCUCUGGAGAUGCUCAAGACAUGUCAUGCCGGACAGAAGGCUGGUUAAUUCAUCAGUGUCUUACGUUCUGCCCUACGUCCUGAACUUGACCCUAUUCCUUAUCUUCCUUCUGACGGUCUUAUUGCUGUGAACCAUGGAAAUAAGAAAAUAUAUGCAAGUACAAUAUAUUAUAACAAAAAUCCUUUAGCUUAAACAUCACAUGAUCCUAAAAAUGACUGCAUUUCUUCCUUCUCUUUAGCAUUCCUCCCUCUUGACACCUCCUGGGGAAAGACCCCCACCACCCUGAGAAGAGAGCACGCUGGGAGGUCAGGACCACUGGUGGAGGCACCUGCACUUCCGUGGGAAUUGACCGGCCUGCUAGCUGAAGUGAAGGCAGCAGCAGUUAGAUGCUGCACCUGCUGAGAAGCCAGAGCAGUGUGCUGGUCGGGGAAGGAGGACCUCUUCACUCUCGUCUUUAAUCUAGAGCCAGCUGAGAAGCCCCUGUGACUGGGGCCACACCUGGAAGACAAGGGCAGAAAGAAAGAAUACAGCCACAUCACAGUUCCAGUUGCUGCCCUUCCCACAAAAGGAGGAGAAAAGGAGUGUGAGCUCAGGACUUGCUUUGCAAUUUGAAUCUCAGGAAUGCAUAAAAAACAGCAGUACCUUCUGAGCAAAGAGGCUCUAUUGAAACUUGAUUCAUCCCUGGCAGUUUAUUGUGUUUCCCCCGCUCUCCUUCCUUGUGACACAGAGGAGUGAGAUUGUCCAGGUCUUAUCCUCGAGAUGGGAACAAAGAUCCAUGACCCCAGGUGUCCUAGAAGCAUUUUUGCUACCAAAGGCCUUCUAAAAGCAGGAAAUGAUUCAGUCAUUGCCAGAGCGAGAGGCUGGCUAAUAAGGUAGCAGCGGGCACCAAAUCACAGGUUUAAAAUACACAUUAAGUUCCAGUACAUCAGAAACACAUUUUCCCCUUCUGGAACUGACCACGCUAUCCUCUUACCCAGCUGGAACCAAGCUAGGGAGAAAAAUAAAUGUUUGUCUCAGUGGCAUUGUCUUAUUCAGCUAAUUGAUUUUUUAAAAUAACAGUAAUGCUUGAACAUCCAGCCGCCUAAUUACUAGCGCUUUUUAUUCGCACUAUCAUUAACUUCACAGCUGCCUUGCCAGAGACAAGUGGCACCACAGAGACGUCAGCAGCAAUGGUUAGUUUUUGAAAAGGUGGAAGACGUACAAAGGCCUGACUCCCCAUCUGCCAAGGUCAGCAAAGGCUUCAGGCCAAUUUCAGUAGCACAAGUGUCGACUUCAAAUAGAGGAAGCCUCAUGUGGACCAUGUUGGGUGGAAGGGACCUUGGAGGGCCUCUGGCUCAAUCCCUUUUGUGGGCAGGGGAGGGAACUUGAUGUCCAGAGAGGGUAAGUGGUUUGCGUAUGAUCACACAGCUUCAGUGCUGGAACUGAAGCCCAGGCCUCCUGAUUCCUAGAUAUUUUUUUAAUUUUUUAAGUUGAAGUAUAUAUACAGAUAAUUGUACAUAUAAAAAUAUGCAACUUGAAUAAUUAUCUUUAAGUGAACACACUUAUGUAACCACCAUGCAGGCCAAGAAAUAGAGCAUUUAGCAACCUGGAAGGCCCCCUUCCAUUCACUACAGUCUCCCCUCUUCAAAGGUAACCAUGACCCUGACUUCUAAUACAAUAGACUACUUUGGCUUGGUUCAUGUUCUUUUACUAAAGGGCUGGAGUUUAGCUAUUUGGACCUAAAAAUAAAUCUUCUAUUCUCUUGGAGUAUAUCAGGUAGUAUACUAAGAAAGAUAUAAUACACCUUCACCCAAGAAGCCCCCCAAACCCAUUGAAGAAAGAGUAUAGGGUCUCCCUUGGGAGGUAUGAAAAUGUUUGGACAA